CCCUUAGAGUUUGAUCAUGGCUCAGAACGAACGCUGGCGGCAGGCCUAACACAUGCAAGUUGAGCGCACCUUCGGGUGAGCGGCGGACGGGUUAGUAACGCGUGGGAACAUACCCUUUUCUACGGAAUAGCCUCGGGAAACUGAGAGUAAUACCGUAUAAGCCCUUCGGGGGAAAGAUUUAUCGGGAAAGGAUUGGCCCGCGUUAGAUUAGAUAGUUGGUGGGGUAAUGGCCUACCAAGUCUACGAUCUAUAGCUGGUUUUAGAGGAUGAUCAGCAACACUGGGACUGAGACACGGCCCAGACUCCUACGGGAGGCAGCAGUGGGGAAUCUUAGACAAUGGGCGCAAGCCUGAUCUAGCCAUGCCGCGUGUGUGAUGAAGGUCUUAGGAUCGUAAAGCACUUUCGCCAGGGAUGAUAAUGACAGUACCUGGUAAAGAAGCCCCGGCUAACUCCGUGCCAGCAGCCGCGGUAAUACGGAGGGGGUUAGCGUUGUUCGGAAUUACUGGGCGUAAAGCGUACGUAGGCGGAUUGGAAAGUUGGGGGUGAAAUCCCAGGGCUCAACCCUGGAACUGCCUCCAAAACUAUCAGUCUAGAGUUCGAGAGAGGUGAGUGGAAUUCCAAGUGUAGAGGUGAGAUUCGUAGAUAUUUGGAGGAACACCAGUGGCGAAGGCGGCUCACUGGCUCGAUACUGACGCUGAGGUACGAAAGUGUGGGGAGCAAACAGGAUUAGAUACCCUGGUAGUCCACACCGUAAACGAUGAAUGCCAGUCG
rnacentral:rRNA from 1 species